CUGGGGAGGGAGGAGGCGCCCCUGGUCUGGUUGAGGGGGCACCAGGGGUUGGGCAGUGACACCCGAGGCUUGAAGAAAGGACUCUGCUCACGGUGCGCCUGCGGACCUGGGGCCACCGGCUUCCCCGUCCUGCGGGAGGCUCAAGGAGGACAGCAGGUACAUCUUCUUCAUGGAGCCGGAGACCGACAGCAGCAGCAGCAGCCGCGCGCCGGCCGCCUUCCGAGCCUCUUCCUGAACCUCAAGAAAGGGGUAGGCCGGGUGCUGUGCAAGCGGUGCGAGAUCAUGGAGGAGCACACCAAGGAGAACAGCUUCGCCUGGAGGGGGCGGCGCCGGGCGCGGGCGAGGGGCUGCCGCGCCUGGUGUCCCGCGGGGCGGCCUCGCUGGGCACCGUCACCCUGGGCGCCGCCGCCGCCCUGGGGCUGCCCGCUGGGCCGGCGGAUGGCGCCCGCCCCGGGCCCCGGCCCGCGGCCGCACCUGGUCAUCGCCGAGCAGCCCAAGCAGCGCGGCAUGCGCUUCCGCUAGGAGUGCGAGGGCUGCUCUGCCGGCAGCAUCCUGGGCGAGAGCAGCACGAGGCCAGCAAGACGCUGCCCGCCAUCGAGGCAGAGAGACAAAGAGAGGAGAAUUUUCCACCCCCACCCCUUCCCUGUGUCUCUGCACAGCUAGGUCCCUGAAGAAUCACCAGGAGGUAGACAUGAACGUAGUGAAGAUCUGCUUCCAGGCCUUGUACCAGACCCAGCAGGGGCAGAUGCGCCACAUGGACCCUGUGCUCUCUGAGCCCGUCUACGACAAGAGUGAGUGGUAGCCGCUGUCCUGGGGCCCAUGUGCAGGGACGGACACACAGGCAGUGGCCGGUUCCUAGAAAUGCUUACUUAGUUCUUUAAGAAGCAGAAUGAGGGAGAGGGAGGGAGAAAGAAAGAGAGAUCUGUCUGCCGGUUCACUCUGCAAAUGGCUGCAAGAGCCAGGGCUGGGCCAGGUGGGUCUCCAGUGUGGGUGACAGGGGCCCCAUACAGGUCUCCUAUGUGGGUGCGGGGACCCCAUCUAGGUCUCCAUCCAGGUCUCCCAUGUGGGUAGAAGGGGCUCCAUCCCGGUCUCCCGUCUGGGUGUAGGGCCUGUAUCUGGGUCUCCCGUGUGGGUGGCAGGGGCCCCAUCCGGGUCUCCCUUAUGAGUGCAGGGGCCCGGGCACUGGGGCAUCAUCCACUCCUUCCCAGGCCCUUGGCAAGGAGCAGGAUCAGAAGUGGAGCAGCAGGGACUUGAACCUGUGAGGACUUCCCGAGCAGAGGCUCCGCCCUCUGCGACAAAACCCUACCCUAGCUUCUUCUGUGGAGACAGUAACGUGUUUCUCAGAACCCGCGGCAGGCUCGGCCUUGUCCCACUCGUGGGAACUUGUCUCAUGGUGACUCCUAGCUACAGGGAGUCUGGGAAAGUGAGUCCAGGGAGGGGCCCGGGUGUGGACAAGGGCACCGGCUCACCAGGGAGCGCCACAGGCAAACAAGAGCAGGGGUGCAUUCAGGGAUUUCAAAGUGCAGCUGAGAGAGUAGCAGCCCAGGUGGGCAUAGGGGGCAGGGGGGCUCUCUUCAAGGUGAGCUUAGGGGGCAGGGGGCUCUGUCCCAGGUGGGCUUAGGGGGGCAGGGGACUGU
ensembl:lncRNA